CAGAGUUUCUCCACCAGAGGGUCUGAUGGCCCAGCCACGGGCAAGAAGAUGGAGAGGAGUUGGAUGCUGGAGAGUGAGUGAGCGAGCCCUGUGUAGGCUGGACUGGGCCACAGCACCUGAGCUGGGAGGACUGGGAGAAGAGAUGGUAGAGGGCAGCUCCACAGACUGGAGGAGUGCAAACAGGCCUCAAACAGACAGACAGUGGAUACAAAGCAACGGAUCACGGAAUAUGAAAAACCUCACCU
rnacentral:lncRNA from 1 species